rnacentral:tRNA from 1 species
GACCCCGAAUUUAGGUUGCAAGCCUUGCUUUUGCUGAGUAAUUUUGGCCGGGGUUU